rnacentral:ncRNA from 1 species
CGUUAGGUUUGGUCCUGACCUUAGUGUUAAUUGUGACUAAAAUUAUACAUGCAAGUUUCAGCACCCCCGUGAGGAUGCCCUAAGUAUUCUGUCAAAUAACUAGGAGCAGGCAUCAGGCACACAUCACGUGGCCCAAGACGCCUUGCUAAGCCACACCCCCAAGGGACUUCAGCAGUAAUAAACAUUGAUUAUAUAAGCGUAAGCUUGAAUUAGUUAAAGUCGACAGAGUUGGUUAAUCUCGUGCCAGCCACCGCGGUUAUACGAGUAACUCAUAUUAAUACUCCCCGGCGUAAAGUGUGAUUUAAGAAUUAUCUCCAAAUAACUACAGUUAUAACCUCAUCAAGCUGUUAUACGCAUUCAUGAGCAGAAUAAUUAACAACGAAAGUGACUUUAAAUUACAAGAAAUCUUGAUGUCACGACAGUUUGGCCCCAAACUAGGAUUAGAUACCCUACUAUGCCCUACCAUAAACUUAGACAAUAAUUUACUAUAUUGUCCGCCAGAGUACUACAAGCGCUAGCUUAAAACCCAAAGGACUUGGCGGUGCCCCACACCCACCUAGAGGAGCCUGUUCUAUAACCGAUAAUCCCCGUUAAACCUCACCACUUCUUGCCAUCACCGUCUAUAUACCGCCGUCGUCAGCUCACCCCGUGAGGGAUAAAAAGUAAGCAAAAAGAAUUAAACUCCUAAACGUCAGGUCGAGGUGUAGCGAAUGAAGCGGAAAGAAAUGGGCUACAUUUUUUUUACCAAAAAACACGGACAGUAAACUGAAAAAUUACCCAAAGGUGGAUUUAGCAGUAAGAGAAGGGUAGAGUACUUCUCUGAAACCGGCUCUGGGGCGCGCACACACCGCCCGUCACUCUCCUCAAUAAAUACUCUCAUUUAUAUAAAAAUUUUACUUAUACAAGAGGAGGCAAGUCGUAACAUGGUAAGUGUACUGGAAAGUGCACUUGGAAC